rnacentral:rRNA from 2 species
GUCGAGCGCCCCGCAAGGGGAGCGGCAGACGGGUGAGUAACGCGUGGGAACGUACCUUUUGCUACGGAAUAACUCAGGGAAACUUGUGCUAAUACCGUAUGUGCCCUUCGGGGGAAAGAUUUAUCGGCAAAGGAUCGGCCCGCGUUGGAUUAGCUAGUUGGUGAGGUAAAGGCUCACCAAGGCGACGAUCCAUAGCUGGUCUGAGAGGAUGAUCAGCCACACUGGGACUGAGACACGGCCCAGACUCCUACGGGAGGCAGCAGUGGGGAAUAUUGGACAAUGGGCGCAAGCCUGAUCCAGCCAUGCCGCGUGAGUGAUGAAGGCCCUAGGGUUGUAAAGCUCUUUCACCGGUGAAGAUAAUGACGGUAACCGGAGAAGAAGCCCCGGCUAACUUCGUGCCAGCAGCCGCGGUAAUACGAAGGGGGCUAGCGUUGUUCGGAUUUACUGGGCGUAAAGCGCACGUAGGCGGACUUUUAAGUCAGGGGUGAAAUCCCGGGGCUCAACCCCGGAACUGCCUUUGAUACUGGAAGUCUUGAGUAUGGUAGAGGUGAGUGGAAUUCCGAGUGUAGAGGUGAAAUUCGUAGAUAUUCGGGGGAACACCAGUGGCGAAGGCGGCUCACUGGACCAUUACUGACGCUGAGGUGCGAAAGCGUGGGGAGCAAACAGG